AUUGAACGCUGGCGGCAGGCUUAACACAUGCAAGUCGAGCGGAGAUGAGGUGCUUGCACCUUAUCUUAGCGGCGGACGGGUGAGUAAUGCUUAGGAAUCUGCCUAUUAGUGGGGGACAACAUUCCGAAAGGAAUGCUAAUACCGCAUACGUCCUACGGGAGAAAGCAGGGGAUCUUCGGACCUUGCGCUAAUAGAUGAGCCUAAGUCGGAUUAGCUAGUUGGUGGGGUAAAGGCCUACCAAGGCGACGAUCUGUAGCGGGUCUGAGAGGAUGAUCCGCCACACUGGGACUGAGACACGGCCCAGACUCCCACGGGAGGCAGCAGUGGGGAAUAUUGGACAAUGGGGGGAACCCCGAUCCAGCCAUGCCGCGUGUGUGAAGAAGGCCUUAUGGUUGUAAAGCACUUUAAGCGAGGAGGAGGCUACUGAGACUAAUACUCUUGGAUAGUGGACGUUACUCGCAGAAUAAGCACCGGCUAACUCUGUGCCAGCCGCCGCAGUAAAAC
rnacentral:rRNA from 1 species